GACGAACGCUGGCGGCGUGCCUAAUGCAUGCAAGUCGCACGCAUCCGCUUCGGCGGGUGAGUGGCGCACGGCUGAGUAACACGUGGGAACCCGCCCCCCGGUGGGGGAUAACGCGACGAGAGUUGCGCUAAUCCCGCAUACGUCCUUCGGGAAAAAGCGCUGCGCGCGCGGGGGGAGGGGCCUGCGGCCCAUCAGGUCGUUGGUGGGGUAAUGGCCUACCAAGCCGAUGACGGGUAGCUGGUCUGGGAGGAUGACCAGCCAGACUGGGACUGAGACACGGCCCACACUCCUACGGGAGGCAGCAGCAAGGUUUUUUCGGCAAUGGGCGCAAGCCUGACCGAGCAACGCCGCGUGCGG
rnacentral:rRNA from 1 species